AUCCUGGGUCCAAGCGAUUCUUGUGCCUCAACCUCCCGAGUAGCUGGAAUUACAGGCGCGUGCCACCACGACUGGCUAAUUUUGUAUCUUUAGUAGAGACGGGGUUUUUCCACAUUGGUCAGGCUGGUCUCAAACUUCUGACCUCAGAUGAUCCGCCCACCUUGGCCACCCAAAGUGCUGGGAUUACAGGUGUGAACCACUGCGCCCGGCCAGAAGUUUUUCUUGUGAGUUGAGGUGAACAUCUGAAUCCCCUCGGGGAACUGAGGUAUGUCCCCUUCAGGGAAUGGCCCCUCUUCAUCCAAAAAUGGGGCCCACAGGUGAUAAUCUGUUGGGUUUCCCAGAAUGAAGACAUCUGGCAUAAUUAGAGCGUGAGCCACCAUGCCUGGACUUCCAUCUGGUAAUUUUCUGUCUUGAGGAGGAACUACCCUGCCCUGGCAGAGGCUGGGGAUGAAGGAGGAAGAGAGAGCCGGUCCCCUGGAUAAAGAGGUGAGGGGGUGUGAAGUCUGGGAGCCCCCCUCCCAGGGCCAGGCUACAGGGGGACAGCAGGGCUAUACCAGGAGUGCCACAGAGCUUGCAUUUGGGUGUGAUCUAAUCCCCAGUCCUGCCCUGACCUCCUGGGUGCUCUUAGCCAAGCCCUCUUCCCUGUGUGUGCUAGAAAGUAAGGGUCACUCCCUUCCACACAAGGGAGUGAAUUGAGGGUGGGGAUCUGAGCUCUCUGAGCAACAAAGCUGGACACAGGCCAAAUUGCCAAUCCUGAGUCCCUCUGUCAUGUGGACCUGGGAAGCUUGUCCUCAUCCUCCAUCCUUCCCCAGGGUGGGGCCUGAGAAUCU
rnacentral:lncRNA from 10 species